GCCCGCUUAGCUCAGUUGGUUAGAGCGUGUGGCUUUUAAUAAAAAUUAGGGCGUUGUUCCGAGUUUUCAUUGAAUACCUCAAAGUCCAGAGUUCGAGCCUCUGAGCGGGCG